rnacentral:lncRNA from 1 species
GGGGGCACCUUAAAGUUGCACCGGGAAUCAGGCUCGUCCAUGAAUAAGAAGGUGUAGAUGAUCAUCCCAGCUCGUCCUCACUAUGAGACUGGACUGUCCUGCCUCAUCGUCCUGCUGGUGACUCUUCCUCUCUCUGCCCUGCUGUCCUCUGGCUGCGUCUUCUGUCUCUUCCACAGAGCAGGUAAAACAGUGGGUGAUGAUCCCAAGACAAGCAACAAUGAAGACAGAGUGAA